rnacentral:rRNA from 1 species
GGCCUACGGGGGGCAGCAGUGGGGAAUAUUGCACAAUGGGCGCAAGCCUGAUGCAGCCAUGCCGCGUGUAUGAAGAAGGCCUUCGGGUUGUAAAGUACUUUCAGCGGGGAGGAAGGUGUUGUGGUUAAUAACCACAGCAAUUGACGUUACCCGCAGAAGAAGCACCGGCUAACUCCGUGCCAGCAGCCGCGGUAAUACGGAGGGUGCAAGCGUUCAUCGGAAUUACUGGGCGUAAAGAGCACGCAGGCGGUCUGUGAAGUCGGAUGGGAAAGCCCCGGGCUCAACCUGGGAACUGCAUUCGAAACUGGCAGGCUAGAGUCUUGUAGAGGGGGGUAGAAUUCCAGGUGUAGCGGUGAAAUGCGUAGAGAUCUAGAGGAAUACCGGUGGCGAAGGCGGCCCCCUGGACAAAGACUGACGCUAAGGUGCGAAAGCGUGGGGAGCAAACAGGAUUAGAUACCCUAGUAGUCU